ensembl:lncRNA
GGACAAAGCCAGUGCCUGCCCACAAGCGGGUGGGCCUUGUCUGGAGGAGGCUGUAGUUUCAGGAAGUCUUUAGGAGUAUGUGCUGAUGGGACUGUGUCUCUGCCCAGCUGUUUGGUCUGAGGCAUCCUGGUGAGGACACCUCCAGGAUGUCAGGUGGGGCCAAGUGUGGCCAGGUGUUGCGGCUAAUGAGCUAACAACGCCUCCAGCACCAGCUUCUAGAACGAGCUCCUAAAUAUGGCUCCCGCUGCCGCGCCCUCUCACCUCUUGUCUCUCCGGGAGACACUCCUAGAAGAAGCAGUUCCCUGAAUAGAGAUCAGACCUGAGACCCAGCAGUGAAAGCAACAAAUCCUUACCAAUGGACUGCUAAGGAAUUCACUACUUGUUUGAUUCUUUGUGCAAUUUAAUGAACCUUGUGUAUCACUAACAGUAUAAUAUAUAUUUGUAUUUAAAUUUUUCUUGAGAAUCUGGACAUCUUUUUAUUGGAUAAAAAGCCCACAAAUAGAAAAUAUGUAUCUUAUAAACCUGUUAUUCAACUUAUUUCUGUAUUUCUUAUAUCCACUUCAUAUAUCACUUACUGAGUAACUCUAUUAAAAAUUUCAUGCUGUACUUGUGCUAUAAAACUUCUGGAGUUCCCUGGUGGCUCAGAUGGUAAAAAAAAAAAAAAAAAAGUCCACCUGCAAUGCAGGAGAUCUGGGUUCAAUCCCUGGGACAGGAAGAUCCCCUGGAGUAAAGAAUGGCAGCCCACCCCAGUGUUCUUGCCUGGAGAAUUCCAUGAACAGAGGAUCCUGUAUAUAAAAUAUAUUGAGCUAGAUACAACAACAAGAAAAGCAGUGAAAUAAAUAUGAUGGACAUUGCAAGAAAGAUGGUGAAUCUCCUCAUAGCAGAAAUAACACAGAGUCUAAAAGAACCUGCUUGUGGAGUGUUGCAGCAAGGACCCGGGGAAAUGUCAGAAGAACAUUGGGUCUGAAGAUUUAAUAUCUACAAAUCUGGAAAUGAUGUGCCCCCUGGACCAUUGAAAGGGGCAUCGAACCUUGAAGGAAGGUGGAAUCAACAAUAGGCAAAGUGACAAAGAAGCUUGAUUCUGUCCUGGGAAUCCAGGUGACUGUUGUGAGAGGUAUUGUCUUGGAGGCUUAAUUAAUAUACCAACAUGUAUAUUCAAGAUGGUGAAAUUACCAGGAGAUUAUUCUAAACAAUAAUGCAAACAACAACUGCAAAAAAUAUGCACACACACACACAAAAUAUGCACAGCAAUUGGCAGGAGGAAUUUAAAAAUCAUUCUAUAGAAACU